AACGAACGCUGGCGGCAUGCUUAACACAUGCAAGUCGAACGGCCUUAUGAGUUUCGAUUCAUAAGUUAGUGGCAGACGGGUGAGUAACGCGUGGGGAUGUACCAAUUGGCUCGGAAUAACUACGGGAAACUGUAGCUAAUACUGGAUAAGCCCGAGAGGGGAAAGAUUUAUCGCCGAUUGAGCAGCCCGCGUUAGAUUAGGUAGUUGGUGGGGUAAAGGCCGCCCAAGCCCGCGAUCUAUAGCUGGUCUGCGGGGAUGAUCAGCCACACUGGGACGCAGACACGGCCCAGACUCCUACGGGAGGUAGCAGUGGGGAAGAUUGGACAAUGGGGGUAACCCUUAUCGAGCAAUGCCGCGUGAGUGAUGGAGGCCUUCGGGUUAUAAAGCUCUUUUAUCAGGGAAGGUGAUGACGGUACCUGAUGAAUAAGCUCCGGCUAACUUCGUGCCAGCCGCCGCCUUAA
rnacentral:rRNA from 1 species